UGGGGAAUUUUCCGCAAUGGGCGAAAGCCUGACGGAGCAAUACCGCGUGAGGGAGGAAGGCUUUUGGGUUGUAAACCUCUUUUCUCAAGGAAGAAGAUCUGACGGUACUUGAGGAAUCAGCAUCGGCUAACUCCGUGCCAGCAGCCGCGGUAAUACGGAGGGGGCAAGCGUUGUUCGGAUUUACUGGGCGUAAAGGGCGCGUAGGCGGGGUAUCCAGUUAGGGGUGAAAGCCCGGGGCUCAACCUCGGAACUGCCUUUAAAACUGAUACUCUAGAGUCCGGAAGAGGGUCGCGGAAUUCCCAGUGUAGAGGUGAAAUUCGUAGAUAUUGGGAAGAACACCGGUGGCGAAGGCGGCGACCUGGUCCGGUACUGACGCUGAGGCGCGAAAGCGUGGGGAGCAAACAGGAUUAGAUACCCCCGUAGUCC
rnacentral:rRNA from 1 species